rnacentral:rRNA from 1 species
GACGAACGCUGGCGGCGUGCUUAACACAUGCAAGUCGAACGGAAAGGCCCUGCUUUUGUGGGGUGCUCGAGUGGCGAACGGGUGAGUAACACGUGAGUAACCUGCCCUUGACUUUGGGAUAACUUCAGGAAACUGGGGCUAAUACCGGAUAGGAGCACCUGCCGCAUGGGGGGGGUUGGAAAGUUUCGGCCGUUGGGGAUGGACUCGCGGCUUAUCUGUUUGUUGGUGGGGUAGUGGCUUACCAAGCCUCUGACGGGUAGCCGGCCUGAGAGGGUGACCGCCCACAUUGGGACUGAGAUACGCCCCCGACUCCUACGGGAGGCAGCAGUGUGGAAUAUUGCACAAUGGGCGGAAGCCUGAUGCAGAAACGCCGCGUGUGGGAUAACAGCCUUCGGGUUGUAAACCGCUUUCGCCUGUGACGAGGCGUGAGUGACGGUAAUGGGUAAAGAAGCACCGGCUAACUACGUG